GCAUGCCAUCUUACCAGAUUUAAACUGAUGAUCAAUAAUCCGGAAUUGCCGAAGUCCUGACGAGUCCGGAUUAAAGACUUUUGACUGUAUUCUGUUAUCAAAUGAUGCAGUAUGUCGAUGAAUUCAUGAAAUGGCUAAUAUCAUGGAAAUUUCAAGAGACACUUAUUCAAAAAAUAAAACAUAGUGGACACUUCUGAUUUGGUGCUCAUCUUGAUCACUCAUUAACAAUUUUACGAUCUCAUUAUAAAGAACAUUGCCCAGGAAAUGAUUGGAAUUGCGCUAAUAAAAAAGAAAUAGAUGACAAAACACAAGUAAUCAGAUACUGCAGUAGACAGUAACCUGUUUAAAUAGUUUUGUUACUGUUUCAAUAAAGUUACUAAGCUGA